AUUGAACGCUGGCGGCAUGCCUUACACAUGCAAGUCGAACGGCAGCACGGGUGCUUGCCCCUGGUGGCGAGUGGCGAACGGGUGAGUAAUACAUCGGAACAUGUCCUGUAGUGGGGGAUAGCCCGGCGAAAGCCGGAUUAAUACCGCAUACGAUCUACGGAUGAAAGCGGGGGCCCUUCUGGCCUCGGGCUUUAGGGUUGGCCGAUGGCUGAUUAGCUAGUUGGUGGGGUAAAGGCCUACCAAGGCGACGAUCAGUAGCUGGUCUGAGAGGGCGACCAGCCACACUGGAACUGAGACACGGCCCAGACUCCUACGGGAGGCAGCAGUGGGGAAUUUUGGACAAUGGGCGAAAGCCUGAUCCAGCAAUGCCGCGUGUGUGAAGAAGGCCUUCGGGUUGUAAAGCACUUUUGUCCGGAAAGAAAUCCUUGGCCCUAAUACGGUCGGGGGAUGACGGUACCGGAAGAAUAAGCACCGGCUAACUACGUG
rnacentral:rRNA from 1 species